AGCGAACGCUGGCGGCAGGCCUAACACAUGCAAGUCGAACGAAGUCUUCGGACUUAGUGGCGGACGGGUGAGUAACACGUGGGAACGUGCCUUUAGGUUCGGAAUAACUCAGGGAAACUUGUGCUAAUACCGAAUGUGCCCUUCGGGGGAAAGAUUUAUCGCCUUUAGAGCGGCCCGCGUCUGAUUAGCUAGUUGGUAGGGUAAUGGCCCACCAAGGCUACGAUCAGUAGCUGGUCUGGGAGGAUGACCAGCCACAUUGGGACUGAGACACGGCCCAAACUCCUACGGGAGGCAGCAGUGGGGAAUCUUGCGCAAUGGGCGAAAGCCUGACGCAGCCAUGCCGCGUGGAUGAUGAAGGUCUUAGGAUUGUAAAAUCCUUUCACCGGUGAAGAUAAUGACUGUAGCCGGAGAAGAAGCCCCGGCUAACUUCGUGCCAGCCGCCGCCGUAAGAC
rnacentral:rRNA from 1 species